UGAGGAAUUUUCCGCAAUGAGUGAAAGCUUGACGGAGCAAUGCCGCGUGGAGGAUGAAGGCCUUAGGGUUGUAAUCUCCUUUUCUCAUUGAAGAAUUUUUGACGGUAUUUGAGGAAUAAGCAUCGGCUAACUUCGUGCCAGCAGCCGCGGUAAUACGAGGGAUGCAAGCGUUAUCCGGAAUUAUUGGGCGUAAAGAGUUUGUAGGUGGUCCAAUGUGUUUAAUGUUAAAUAUUAAAGCUUAACUUUGAGUAUGCAUUGAAAACUGUUGGACUUGAGUAUGGUAGAGGUAAAGGGAAUUUCCAGUGUAGCGGUGAAAUGCGUAGAUAUUGGAAAGAACACCAAUGGCGAAAGCACUUUACUAGGUUAAUACUGACACUGAGAAACGAAAGCUAAGGUAGCU
rnacentral:rRNA from 1 species